GGCGAACGCUGGCGGCGUGCUUAACACAUGCAAGUCGAACGAUGACGACCGAGCUUGCUCGGUCUGAUUAGUGGCGAACGGGUGAGUAACACGUGAGCAACCUGCCCUUCACUCUGGGAUAACCUCGGGAAAUCGGGGCUAAUACCGGAUAUGAGCUCCUGUCGCAUGGCGGGUGUUGGAAAGUUUUUCGGUGAAGGAUGGGCUCGCGGCCUAUCAGUUUGUUGGUGAGGUAGUGGCUCACCAAGGCGAUGACGGGUAGCCGGCCUGAGAGGGCGACCGGCCACGCUGGGACUGAGACACGGCCCAGACUCCUACGGGAGGCAGCAGUGGGGAAUAUUGCACAAUGGGCGAAAGCCUGAUGCAGCGACGCCGCGUGAGGGAUGACGGCCUUCGGGUUGUAAACCUCUUUCAGCAGGGAAGAAGCGAAAGUGACGGUACCUGCAGAAGAAGCGCCGGCUAACUACGUG
rnacentral:rRNA from 1 species